AUGCCCCAGCCCCGGGCCGGCAGGAGGAGACCUGGGACCCCGGAGCCUCGGGUGUGCAGCAUCCAGCCCUUUAAGUCCAGCGAGCAGUACCUAGAAGCCAUGAAGGAGGACCUGGCCGAGUGGCUUCGGGAUCUCUACGGACUGGACAUCAGUGCAGCCAACUUCCUGCAGGUGCUGGAGACAGGCCUGGUGCUGUGCCAGCAUGCCAACGCCAUCACUGAGGCUGCCCUGGCCUUCCUGGCUGAGACACCUGCCCAAGCCCAGAGGCUUCCUCUGCCCAGGGCCGGAGUUUCCUGUAAUGAGGCUGCCCAGCCUCGCACUUUCCAGGCCCGGGACAACAUCUCCAACUUCAUCCAGUGGUGUCGCAAGGAGAUGGGCAUCCAAGAGGUGCUGAUGUUCGAGACGGAGGAUCUGGUGUUGCGCAAGAACGUGAAGAACGUGGUGCUGUGCCUGCUGGAGCUGGGCCGCCGGGCCUGGCGCUUCGGCAUCGCGGCGCCCACCCUGGUGCGGCUGGAGGAGGAGAUCGAGGAGGAGCUGCGGCUGGAGCGGGCCCUGCCCCGGCCCGACCCCCCGCCGCCAGCGCCCCCUGCGCGCCGGCCCUGCCACUCCCGCGACCUGGACCAGCUGGUUCAGAGCCUGGUGAGCCACUGCACCUGCCCGGUUCAAUUUUCCAUGGUCAAGGUGUCGGAGGGGAAGUACCGCGUGGGAGAUUCCAACACCCUUAUCUUCAUCCGGAUCCUCCGGAACCACGUGAUGGUGCGUGUGGGGGGCGGCUGGGACACACUCGGUCACUAUCUGGACAAACAUGACCCCUGCCGGUGCACGUCCCUCUCACACAAGACAGGCAGCUUCUUGCAGCCCCCUGCCCACCUUGUGCAGCAUGAAGUGAGGGUGCAGGACGGGCCCUGGCAGCCCCAGCCUACGAUGACCAUCAGCCGCUCCCAGAGCCCACUGCCCCCCGUGGACUGGAAGACAUAUACUUCUUCAGGUCGAAAGCUGAGGCCCCCUGCCGUCUCCUCCCCCAGACCCCAGCGUGAACAGAGAGCUGGCCCAGGGGUCCACAGAGAGACAGCACCGUUGCUGAGGUGCCAGGAGAAGUUGCUCGCCCCAUCUCAGAGGCAGCUGCCAGCUGGGGACAACCUGCCCAGCCCCCAGUCCUCACCCACUCCCAGGGGCCUAGACCCACCGUGUACCUCCUUGGGGAAGAGGGAGGAGAGACACCCCCCUGAACCCCCCCGGGGGAGGACUCCCACAUCUUCGGUUCAUGAGAGGACAGACAGCCGGGGAACUCAUGCCAGGACCCCCACCCCCCAGAGACUCCAAGCCCCAGAGGCCACCGCCAAAGGGACGCCAGCAAGAGGACUGUCCCCAUUGCCUCGUUCUCCCAGCCCAGCCAUGUCCGUGGGCCCCAGGCGACCACCUUGGGGUGAGGUUGAGGGCACUUCCUCGCAGCUCAAGGAGCCAGAGCCUGUCUGCUCUCCAUCCCCUGUCAAAGGGUCCACCAAGAUCCCCAUCCAGUUGCCCCCAGCACGCCCCCCCACUCCGGGAAGAGGCUUUGCAGGAACUGCAAGUGGAGGUCCCAGCAAAGAACUGGAGAGAGGCCCCAUUCCAUUAAGGGCCAUCACUGGAGACCUGUCUGGGUCCAGACAUGAGCACUGUUCUGUGGAAGAGGGGCAGGAGGACCUGAAGCUGGACGUCCAGGUGACAGCGGAGGCUGGAGGGCCUUGGGGCCUGGGCCCACAGCACCGGGAGGGGAGGUGCACCCCCUUGCCAUCGGGCAGAACCAAGGAACAAGGCAUCCAUCACAGCCUUGAGGAGGAGCUUUCAACCAACAUGAAGCUGUUAGGAAUGGCAGGUGCCCACCCCCAGGGUGCUGGGUCUGUAGUCAUUCCUCGCAGUGGUGUCUAUGUGCCCAGUCUGGGUGGGUGGUGGCCUGAUCCUGGGGGUCUUUAUGACAAAGUCAUCCAAGAGCUGAUUCAGGGCCCCCCACCCCUCCUUAAAGUGGACCUGGGAGCCUGGAAGGCAGCUCCUCCAGGCUCCCCUGCGCCAGCUGUAACUGCAGGCCCAGGAAGCCUCAAAGGGAAACUGAGAGCCCGUGAGAGUGGGCCGACAAUGGCAAACCCAAGUGCCAAGGGCAUCAGGACGAAGGUCCAAGGGGGACAGGACUGCUCAGCCCCUACACUGUCUGCCAGCCCAGAGUCCCUCACACCUUCACCCUCUGACCCCAGUUCCGAGAGAGCCAAGGCAUGUCCAAGCAAGGGCAAGAGAACACUCCGGAAGCCCCAGAGAAUCCCAUCCAUCUACAAGCUGAAGCUGAGGCCCAGGAUUCGGCCCCGGAGAGAUCACAGGCCUGAGAAGCGGCCAUCACGGAUCCCCAAGCCAUUGACCUACCUGUGCCAGGGUCCAGUCAGGGCACCCCCCAAAGGCAGGCUGGUGAGGGCAGCACUGGGCAGUAAGGGAGGGGAGGCAACCCUGGUGGAUGGAGCCUCGGCAGGGGAGGAGGAGGAUGGAGAAGAGAGGAGAGAGCCAGCCACCCCACUGGAGAGCGGCUCCCCGCCUUUGGAGGGCCAGGGGCCCUGGCAGCUCGAUCCAGUCCCCCUCUCACCUGAGGAGGAGUCCUGGGUCUGAGAAGACGCUUCUCCCUGACCCCAAGGAGGGAAGUGAAAAGAUGCCCAUGCACUCCCAAAUGCAGGAACAAAAGGGAAGGUCCCUCCCCUCAAUACAGGGCCUUGGCCAGGAGAGGUUAGAAAGCAAAUAGAGACUUAAUCUGCUCAGUUGAGCAGAAAGGCAAUCCAUGAGUCUCAGUCCAACUCCAGAAUGGUGAGGCUACCCUCUCCCAAAACAGCUCCCCCAGUUCCUGUGCCCUCUUCUCUGGCCAGACUCACUUCCACAACUCUUAUGUUAUUAAACAUGAGAGGGUCUGCCCCUGAACCCCCAGCUCUUGAGUCUACUCUAUGACUGUGGUGAUGCAGAAAGGUGUGGCAUCAUUUUUCCCACUGUGGGGGCGGGGGUGGGACGAGGAACAGGGAGCUAGAGGGUGAGAAAUGCUUCGCCUUUGGAGGUUCAGCCAACCUUGCCAGACAGCCCUUCUUCCCCAGAGCAGCUGUUGCAUCAGCACCAUGGACAGGGACAAGGUUGCCCCAUACAGGCUCCUAUGGGGCUUGGUGCUAGUGGUAAAGAAUCCACCAGACAACGCAGGAGACUAAGGGACAUAGGUUCAACCCCUGGGUCUGGAAGAUCCCUUGGAAUAGGGAAUGGCAACCCAGUCCAGUAUCCUUGCCUGGAGAAUCCUACGGACAGAAGAACCUGGCGGGCUACGGUCCAUAGGGUCGCAGUCCGACAUGACAGAAGCAACUUAGCACUUAGCAUGUGUGACUUCAAAACUCUACCCUGGUGGUUGGGAGCUGAGAUCACCGAGUCAAGAGGGAUGGUUGAGAGCAUUCUUUAACACAACUACACCCAUGGAGUUAGCACCUCACCCCUGAGUGGGAGGAAGACACAAAACCAGAAGCUGGGCCUGAGUCCACUUACAAAAGUUUUCCCAAGAAGGUGGCAGAAAGAAUGUUAUCCUCUGAAUGGUUUUGAUCAGUUGGAGGGUUUCAAGGUGGGGUAGAUGGAGAGAGAUGCA
rnacentral:lncRNA from 1 species